rnacentral:misc_RNA from 1 species
GUGAAUCAUCAAAUUUUUGAACGCAAAUUGCACUCCCUGGUAUUCCGGGGAGUAUGCCUGUUUGAGGGUCAGCCUAUAAAAAAUCCACCUCGUUUCUGUUUCGCGGUGGCGUUCGUCGGACAUUGGGCCAUCUUAAAUCCUUGUGAUUUAAGCGACUUAAACUUUUCUUUUAAUUCCAUGAAC